rnacentral:rRNA from 1 species
UACGGGGGGGGGCAAGCGUUGUUCGGAAUUACUGGGCGUAAAGGGCUCGUAGGCGGCCAACUAAGUCAGACGUGAAAUCCCUCGGCUUAACCGGGAAACUGCGUCUGAUACUGGAUGGCUUGAAUCCGGGAGAGGGAUGCGGAAUUCCAGGUGUAGCGGUGAAAUGCGUAGAUAUCGGGAGGAACACCAGUGGCGAAGGCGACUACCUGGCCUGUUCUUGACGCUGAGGCGCGAAAGCUAGGGGAGCAAACGGGG